rnacentral:snRNA from 1 species
GUGUUGUAUGAAAGAAGAGAAAGUUGGUUUCCCCUUGACGAAGAUGGAAGAGGCGCUUGGUCCUAACAACGUGCGUACAGUUAAGGCUUUGCCAUCUGUUCAGUACUCUGUAUACAAAGAUACUUAAAAUCCACUAAAACUGGUGCUUUUG